CCUGUGCCACAUCCCCUUCCACUCCUGUGUCACAUCCCCUUCCACUCCUGUGUCACACACACACCCCCUCCACCCCUGUGCCACACCCCCCACCCCUGUGUCACACACACCCUCCUUCACUCCCGUGUCACACCUGCCCACGCCUGUGUCACACACACACCCCCUCCUCCCCUCCUAUGUCACCCCCUGACUCCUGCCUCACCCCCCACUCCUGUGUCACAUGCCCCUCCUCCCCUCCUGUGUCACCCCCUGUCUCCUGCCUCACCCGCCCACGCCUGUGUCACACGCCCCCUCCUCCACUCCCGUGCCACACCCGCCCACGCGUGUGUCACACACCCCCUCCUCCACUCCCGUGUCACACAGUCCCUGCCUCUGCUCAGUGGUCCCUCCGACCCUUUCUUCCCCUCCGGGGUCCCUGACGUCUGUGUCCCGCAGGCCGCCCCCACUCCCGCGUCACAGUGACCCCCUCUCCGCUCAGGUCGCACUGGGCCCUUGCACGCGUUUGUUUACGCUGAGGCCCUUUCUCACUGAUCGUCACCAUGAGCACGUUCCUUUCUUGUGUCGCUCUCGGUUCCCUCAUGUGACACACCCAGUCCCUUCCGCAGCCAUCGCCUCCCCUGCUCGUGUGCUGUGUGGCGUCUCCCCUUUACUGAAACCCCGUGUCCCCUCUCAGCUGGGUCAGGCGCGGUCAUUCGCACGCUCACGGAGCACUGAGAGGUCCCUCCUGAGCAUGUGUCACCUGGUGACCCCUCACGCACAUGCUGUGCCAUGUCCUCUGUCAGGUUUCAAGCUGUGUCCCUCUCCCACCUUGGCCACACCCCCACUCAAGUGGCACAGAGCGUCCCCACACCCACACAGCGUUGCGAGCCCCUCCCCCCCCCCAGUGUCACCCUGAGCACUCCCUGCUCCUGUGUCACCCUGCGCCCCUACCCUGGUCGUGCGAAACGGAGCCUCCCCCACUCACGUAUCCUUUGGGGUCUCUGCCCAGCCUCGCGUCACACAGAGUCACUCCUUUACCCCGUGUCGGCUCGAACUCUGUCCUCUGCUGUGUCCCCCCGAGCCUCUCUCUCUCUAUUUUGCGUCCCCUGAAACCCUCCCCACCCCACGCCACACGCAGCGCCCUGCUCGUUUGUCACCGCGAGCUCCUCCCCCACACGAGUCCCACGAGUCCCUUCCCCACUCACGGGUCACAUGGAGCCCCUCUUCACCCAUGUGUCACCGCGAGUCCCCCAGCUCAUGUGUCACACCAGGUCCCUCCCCACCUGUGUGUCAAACCGAGCUUCUCCUUCAUUCGUGAUCACACUGGCCUCCCCCCAGCGUGUGUCACAGGGAUUCCCCCAGUCAUGUCACACUGAACCCCUUCCUGAGCCGGGCCACCCUGAACGUUCCCCUUUCCUGUGUCACAUGGAGCCCCUCCACGGCAUGUGUCACUUCAGCCUCCACGCUCACUGUCACAGUGAGCCAUUCCUCCACUACUGAGUCCCCCUGACCCUUUCCCACUCAUGGGACGCUGAUGGCUCCCUGCCUCAGGGGUCCUCCCACCCAUGAGUCACCUGGGCCCCUUCUACCCACGUGACAGUAGAGCUGAUUCAACACACGUGUCACAGGGACUCCCCCACUUGAAUGCACCCCCAAGUACCUCCCUCCUGGACGCCACCCUCAGCCCCUGCCUCCCCUACGUGUCACCCUGACCCCUGCCUCCCCCGCGUGUCACCCUGACCCCUGCCUCCCCCACAUGUCACCCUGACCCCUGCCUCCCCCACGUGUCACCCUGACCCUGCCUCCCCCGCGUGUCACCUGAGCCCCUGCCUACCUCAUGUGUCACCCUGACCCCUGCCUCCCUCACGUGUCACCUGAGCCCCUGCCUCCCUCACGUGUCACCUGAGCCCCUCCUUCACUCAUGCGUCACCCUGAGCCCCUCCCCUUUCAUGUGUCACCCUGAGCUCCUCUAUCAUUCAGGUGUCGCCCUAAACCCUCCUUCACUCAGGUGUCACCCUAAGCCCAUUCUUCACUGGCAUGUCCCCUUGAGCCCCUCCCCCUUUCACGUGUCACCCAAAACCCUCCUUCACGGAAGUGUCGCCCGGAGCCCCCCCCCUGUCAUUCACCAAGCCGAGCCCUUCAUCCCCUCACGUCUCUCCCUGGGCUCCUCCUUCCAUCAAGUGUCACCCUGAGCAUCUGGUUCCCUCGGGUGUCAGCCUGAGCCCCUGCUCCACUCAAGCGUCCCUCCGACCCCUCCCCCAGACUGUCUCACCCCGAGCCCCUCCCACUUUCAUGUGUCACCUGGAGCCCUUCCUUCCCCCACGUGUCACCCUGAACCCUCCCUUGCUCAGGCGUCACCCUGAGCCCCUCCUUCACGCGGGCGGACCCCCUGCCCCUGCCCGUCCUGUCUCCCCUGAGCACCUCCCCUUUCACGUAGCAGCCUGAACCCCCCUUGGCUCACGUGU
rnacentral:lncRNA from 9 species